rnacentral:rRNA from 1 species
ACGAUGUCUACUAGUUGUCGGGUUUUAAUUAACUUGGUAACGCAGCUAACGCGUGAAGUAGACCGCCUGGGGAGUACGGUCGCAAGAUUAAAACUCAAAGGAAUUGACGGGGACCCGCACAAGCGGUGGAUGAUGUGGAUUAAUUCGAUGCAACGCGAAAAACCUUACCUACCCUUGACAUGUACGGAAGCCACGAGAGAUCGAGGUGUGCUCGAAAGAGAGCCGUAACACAGGUGCUGCAUGGCUGUCGUCAGCUCGUGUCGUGAGAUGUUGGGUUAAGUCCCGCAACGAGCGCAACCCUUGUCAUUAGUUGCUACGAAAGGGCACUCUAAUGAGACUGCCGGUGACAAACCGGAGGAAGGUGGGGAUGACGUCAAGUCCACAUGGCCCUUAUGGGUAGGGCUUCACACGUCAUACAAUGGUACAUACAGAGGGCCGCCAACCCGCGAGGGGGAGCUAAUCCCAGAAAGUGUAUCGUAGUCCGGAUUGUAGUCUGCAACUCGACUGCAUGAAGUUGGAAUCGCUAGUAAUCGCGGAUCAGCAUGUCGCGGUGAAUACGUUCCCGGGUCUUGUACACACCGCCCGUCACACCAUGGGAGCGGGUUUUACCAGAAGUAGGUAGCUUAACCGCAAGGGGGGCGCUUACCACGGUAGGAUUCGUGACUGGGGUGAAGUCGUAACAAGGUAACCAAGGG